CACGCCUCCUCUUUACCCCUUCAUCCCUGUGUAGUCAUUCGUGUUGUCACUGACCGACCGCCCUUUGCGGUCGGUUUUUUU
rnacentral:ncRNA from 1 species